rnacentral:rRNA from 1 species
AUUGAACUUUGGCGGCAUGCCUCACACAUGCAAGUCGAACGGCAGCACGGAGCUUGCUCUGGUGGCGAGUGGCGAACGGGUGAGUAAUAUAUCGGAACGUACCCUAGAGUGGGGGAUAACGUAGCGAAAGUUACGCUAAUACCGCAUACGAUCUAAGGAUGAAAGUGGGGGAUCGCAAGACCUCAUGCUCGUGGAGCGGCCGAUAUCUGAUUAGCUAGUUGGUAGGGUAAAAGCCUACCAAGGCAUCGAUCAGUAGCUGGUCUGAGAGGACGACCAGCCACACUGGAACUGAGACACGGUCCAGACUCCUACAGGAGGCAGCAGUGGGGAAUUUUGGACAAUGGGCGAAAGCCUGAUCCAGCAAUGCCGCGUGAGUGAAGAAGGCCUUCGGGUUGUAAAGCUCUUUUGUCAGGGAAGAAACGGUGAGAGCUAAUAUCUCUUGCUAAUGACGGUACCUGAAGAAUAAGCACCGGCUAACUACGUGCCAGCAGCCGCGGUAAUACGUAGGGUGCAAGCGUUAAUCGGAAUUACUGGGCGUAAAGCGUGCGCAGGCGGUUUUGUAAGUCUGAUGUGAAAUCCCCGGGCUCAACCUGGGAAUUGCAUUGGAGACUGCAAGGCUAGAAUCUGGCAGAGGGGGGUAGAAUUCCACGUGUAGCAGUGAAAUGCGUAGAUAUGUGGAGGAACACCGAUGGCGAAGGCAGCCCCCUGGGUCAAGAUUGACGCUCAUGCACGAAAGCGUGGGGAGCAAACAGGAUUAGAUACCCUGGUAGUCCACGCCCUAAACGAUGUCUACUAGUUGUCGGGUCUUAAUUGACUUGGUAACGCAGCUAACGCGUGAAGUAGACCGCCUGGGGAGUACGGUCGCAAGAUUAAAACUCAAAGGAAUUGACGGGGACCCGCACAAGCGGUGGAUGAUGUGGAUUAAUUCGAUGCAACGCGAAAAACCUUACCUACCCUUGACAUGGCUGGAAUCCCCGAGAGAUCAGGGAGUGCUCGAAAGAGAACCAGUACACAGGUGCUGCAUGGCUGUCGUCAGCUCGUGUCGUGAGAUGUUGGGUUAAGUCCCGCAACGAGCGCAACCCUUGUCAUUAGUUGCUACGAAAGGGCACUCUAAUGAGACUGCCGGUGACAAACCGGAGGAAGGUGGGGAUGACGUCAAGUCCUCAUGGCCCUUAUGGGUAGGGCUUCACACGUCAUACAAUGGUACAUACAGAGCGCCGCCAACCCGCGAGGGGGAGCUAAUCGCAGAAAGUGUAUCGUAGUCCGGAUUGUAGUCUGCAACUCGACUGCAUGAAGUUGGAAUCGCUAGUAAUCGCGGAUCAGCAUGUCGCGGUGAAUACGUUCCCGGGUCU